rnacentral:lncRNA from 1 species
AUUAACCCUCACCAGUAAGGAGAAAAGAACAAAAUUCAAUUGUGAAAAAAGAUUAGAGAGAAAAGAGUCAUUUUAAUAAGAUGAUUCCAUUUGUCAUUAUAAAAGAAUAUAAAAUUUUAUAAUUUUUAAAAAAUGAAUUUAGAAGUAGUGGGCCCAGGAUGAAUCCACCACCAGAUCCAAGCAGACCACCAACAGUGCCUCCUAUGAUUCCACACAGUGCACAGAAAGCAAUAUGCAUUGGGGUCCAUGCAAUUGAAGCCUCACAACUCUAUCUCCGGCAGGUCUUCUCCGGCGAUCACCCAUUCCUCACCAAGUCUGGAAUGACAUUACCAUAGAUUUCAUCGCUUUCCCAUCUAAUGACAAGAACACUAUUUUAGUAGUGGUUGACCGCCUAAGUAUGCACAUUUUUUUUUACUCAAUCUCAUCCUUAUACUACCAAAGUAGUCGUUGAAAAAUUUGUGGAAAGGGUCGUGAAGUUUCAUGGAAUGCCCAAGUCAAUUGUCAGUGAUUGAGAUCCUAUUUUC